UGGGGAAUUUUGGACAAUGGGCGCAACCCUGAUCCAGCCAUGCCGCGUGAGUGAAGAAGGCCCUCGGGUUGUAAAGCUCUUUUGUCCGGAAAGAAAAGCUUCGGGUUAAUACCCCGGGGUUCUGACGGUACCGGAAGAAUAAGCACCGGCUAACUUCGUGCCAGCAGCCGCGGUAAUACGAAGGGUGCAAGCGUUACUCGGAAUUACUGGGCGUAAAGCGUGCGUAGGUGGUUGUUUAAGUCUGAUGUGAAAGCCCUGGGCUCAACCUGGGAAUGGCAUUGGAACCUGGGCAGCUAGAGUGCGGUAGAGGGUAGUGGAAUUCCCGGUGUAGCAGUGAAAUGCGUAGAGAUCGGGAGGAACAUCUGUGGCGAAGGCGACUGCCUGGACCAGCACUGACACUGAGGCACGAAAGCGUGGGGA
rnacentral:rRNA from 1 species